rnacentral:lncRNA from 10 species
UUCCUUCCUUCCUUCCUUCCUUCCUUCCUUCCUUUCUUUCUCUCUCUUUCUCUCUCUCUCUCUCUGUCUCUUUCUUUCUUUUCUUUCUUUCUUUCUUUCUUUCUUUCUUUCUUUCUUUCUUUCUUUCUUUCUUUCUUUCUUUCUUUCUUUCUUUUUUGAUGGAACCUCCCUCUCAGGCUGGAGUGCAGUGGUGCAAUCUUAGCUCACUGCAACCUCUGCCUCCCGGGUUCAAGCGAUGCUCCUGCCCCAGCCUCCUGAGUAGCUGGGACUACAGGCGCACACCACCAUGCCUGGCUAAUAUUUGUAUUUUUGGUAGAAACGGGGUUUCACCGUGUUGCCCAGGCUGGUCUCGAACUCCUGACCUCAGGUGAUCCACCCGCC